UUAGAGUUUGAUCCUGGCUCAGGAUGAACGCUAGCGGCAGGCCUAACACAUGCAAGUCGAGGGGUAACAGAAGUAGCAAUACUUGCUGACGACCGGCGCACGGGUGAGUAACGCGUAUGCAACCUACCUUUGACUGGAGAAUAGCCCGAAGAAAUUCGGAUUAAUGCUUCAUGAGACCACAAUACCGCAUGAUAUAGUGGUAAAAGCUCCGGCGGUCAAAGAUGGGCAUGCGUGCCAUUAGUUAGUUGGUGAGGUUACGGCUCACCAAGACAACGAUGGCUAGGGGGUCUGAGAGGAUGAUCCCCCACACUGGUACUGAGACACGGACCAGACUCCUACGGGAGGCAGCAGUGAGGAAUAUUGGUCAAUGGACGCAAGUCUGAACCAGCCAUGCCGCGUGCAGGAUGAAUGCCCUAUGGGUUGUAAACUGCUUUUCUACAAGAAGAAACUUCCUGAUGUAUCAGGAACUGACGGUAUUGUAGGAAUAAGCAUCGGCUAACUCCGUGCCAGCAGCCGCGGUAAUACGGAGGAUGCAAGCGUUAUCCGGAUUCAUUGGGUUUAAAGGGUGCGUAGGCGGGGUAGUAAGUCAGUGGUGAAAGCCUGCGGCUUAACCGUAGAAUUGCCAUUGAUACUGCUAUUCUUGAGUGCAGUUGAGUAGCGGAAUGUGUAAUGUAGCGGUGAAAUGCUUAG
rnacentral:rRNA from 1 species